AACGAACGCUGGCGGCAUGCCUAACACAUGCAAGUCGAACGAGAACUUCGGGUCUUGUGUCGCAUGGGUGCGUAAGGCGUGGGAACCUGACCUUAGGUUCGGACUAACUAUACGACAGGGAUGCUAAUACCGGAUAAUGUCUUAGGACCAAAGAUUUAUCGACUCUGGUUGUGCGCUCGUUGGAUUAGCUAGUUGGUAGGGUAAAAGCCUACUAAGGCGACAAUCCAUAGCUGGUUUGAGAGGCUGAUCAGCCACACUUGGACUGAGACGCGGCCGAGACUCCUACGCGAGGCGGCAGUGGCGAAUGUUGGACAAUGGGCGAAGGCCUGAACCAGCUAUGCCGGUAAAGCGAUGAAAGCCGUAGGGAAGUAAAGCUCUUUUACCCGUGAUGAUAAUGACGGUACCGAGUGAAUAAGCUCCGGCUAACUCCGUG
rnacentral:rRNA from 1 species